rnacentral:tRNA from 1 species
CGCGGGGUGGAGCAGUUUGGCAGCUCGUCGGGCUCAUAACCCGAAGGUCGUAGGUUCAAAUCCUACUCCCGCAACCA